UAAAUCAUUCAAUUCCAAUAAGAAGGUGGUUGUUGGGUCAGUUGAUAACAUUGAAGGUCAUUGUAACAGUAGUAUAUUGCUGUGACAGAUCGCCUGGCACUCCUACUGGGUGCCUCCACCAAUCGCUGCUUCCUAGUACCUCUGAGUACUUCCAAGCACUCCUCCAGACACCAUCAGCACUGUAGUCCCCACUUUCCACAUUAAAGCUUGGCUGGGGUCUUGCUGUCUUCCACCCACCAUGGAUCCAAGACCAUCCCAGUGACAGCGACUUUGCAUGCGGAUGUUAUUCAUAUCAACUUUCGAUGCCAGUUAAUGCGCCUACCAUGGUGACCACGGGUAAUGGGGAAUCAGGAUUCCAUUCUGUACAGGGACCCUGAGAAUCGGCUACCACAUGCAAGGAAGGCAGCAGGCG